GCUGGAAUGGCCGAGUGGUCUAAGGCGGUGGUUUUAAGUUAAAUCUAUUUAACACCACUCUCGAAAGAGGCGGGAGUUCAAACCUCCCUUCCAGCA